GGCUCGCGCCUCCCGGCCGCCCGCCCGGAUGCCACCCCGCGCCGUGCGCGCCUGCCGUGCGGUGCCUUGGGCGCCCCUGCGGUGCCCUGCGCCCCUCCGGUCCCCGUCUCCCUCCCCCGCUGCCCGCCGCGCUCCCACCCCCGCUUUCGCACCUGAGCCGCCCGUCCCGCCCGCCUUGCAGGUAGAGGCGCCCCUGGGCGCCCGCUCUGCCCCCAGGAGACGUCCCCUUCCCUCGUCUUGGGGCCCGCCUGCCUGCUCCCCACCUCCGCCGAGACCCCCCAGUCAUCCACAGACUGUUUUCCGUGUCCCCAGAAGGUGUACCCCAGCUUGGGCUCUUCACCUCUCUUCCACCUUAUUCCAGUUUCGGCUCCAUUUAAUAAGCUGCCCAUUUCCCCUGGCCUGCUGUCCCCUCGGCCAGGAUCAGGUGCUUCAGUGGGUCCCCGUGCCCUUCCAGGGCCCAUUCACAGAUCCCACCCCCUCACUCCCCACCCCAUCCCCCCUCUGUGCCUUGACCCCGGGCACCGCGGCCUCUCGGCUCACCGAGGGCCCUGCGGGAGCGCGGGGACUGGGCUGGGAAGGAGAUUGGGCACCUGGUGGGUGACGGGAGCGUUACGGAAACUCCCUCUUUGUUGCCAGUGUAACAGGAGGAAGAGGUGCCGAAUUUAGUUUUUCUGUGGGCACUGGCUGGAUGUUGUCGCUGAGGGCUGAGAUGCAGAGAUUUCUCCCAGCUGCCACCCUGCCCCCAUCCAAAUUUCGCUAGCCGCCUUCUCCCUUUCCGAUCAGAGCCUCUAACCUGGGUGGAAAUGUUUGGACAACUGUGUAAGGAUCAGAUGUAAUAGAACUUGACUGCUGGCCACUAAUAACUGAGAGGACCUGUUUGUAAAUUACCUAAUUUAGUGGAUUAGUGAGUGUAUUUACAAAUACGAUAAAAAGCAAUCAGGAAUACUGCAUCAAACUGUCUGGUGGUGGUGUAUGAAAAAUAGGCUCUGACAACGCCUGGGAUGUUUCUCCACAGUUUCAUUAGCGUAGAAUUUAACAGUAGUCUGAUUUGUUUGUUUUUUCCUUUGGGUGUGUGUGGGGGGUGCGUUUGCUUGUAGAAAUAAAGGCUGGCUAGUUUUUGGCGUAGAAAAACGCUAGUUUUGGGGGAAAAUUCCUCUAGGGAUGUAGCGUCUGUGACACAGAAGUGUUUGCUGCUAAGUGACUAUAUAUAACUCAGUUUUAAAUAACCUGCAUACUUGUUCUGAAAAAUCUGAGAUCUGUCACAGAAACGACUAGAACUGAGAGAAGGAUGCAGAGGGCUUAUUAGGCAUUCUUCCUGUUUGUCCAGUUCUUAGGCUGAGUCGUUUAGUUAAGUAGUUAAACCUUCCUAUUCAGUUAGGUUAGCAAAGAAAAGCCAUGUGUCUGGUGUUAAGGAAGGCUGGAUCAGGGCUUUCGGAUUAGCACAUAGAGGUGUGGAGAAACAUACCUUUCAACCGGUUAGGAAUUUAGGGGCAGGGGGCACAUCUAUUAAUAAGUAUGCAUUGUUCAUCUAAUAUUUAAAUAUAGUUUUCAACAAAAGAUGUCUUUCACAUUGCCUUUCUUUCCGGAAUUGGCUUGCUGUGCACGCUCAUUUGGUGGGGAAAUGCCUUUAAGACAGGAAAGUAUUGGUAGUUUAUGGGUGGCUUGUUCAGUGCAUGAAAGAUAAUUUGGGAGGGCCGGGUUCUGCGCCAGAACUCCACUUUAAACGGGUAAUGGUCAUGUGGUUGUCUUGCUCUACGUUGUAGUGGUGCAGAAUGCAGACACAUACCUUCUCUUCCUUUUUCCUCCUCCCAAAGGCACUGUUUGCUGCGUGCCACGUUCUACAGACAAGAUUCCUGUCUGAGGGGAUUCAUUUUUUUUACCACCUUGGGGAUUUCUGUAGCCAAUCAGCAGUUGUUAACAUGGCUUUGAGUUCAGCUUUGAGACUUCAAGUGUUCAGUGGAGCAUGAAGGCAGGUUUUAGGUACAGGGACGGGUCAUCAUUUUCUUUCUUCUUAUUUUAGGAUUUUUGGGCAUCAUUCUUCAUUUAUGAAGUGUUCUCAAUAUGGCUUUUAACACUCAGCUCAGAAACAGCAGGAAUUUGGAUUGCUCUCGUAUGUAGUGUGUAGAGAUAAAACAGGGGUACAACUUUAAAUGUUCUCUGGGUACAGAACUGCAAAUUACUGAGCUGAUUUUAGGGGUCAUGAAUGUAUUUUCAGACAGAAUAUGUUUUGAUUCUGCUUUCUAUUGGGUUGGGAACUUCUUGAGUGUAGAAACUGCUUUUGUUUUCCUCGCUUCCCAGUUACUACAGUGCCUCGCUGUGUCUUACAGAGUGGCUCAGCGGUGGCCAUUGAAUGGAGUGCAUACUUACAUUUGAACAUUUGGCUGGCAAGUCACGGAUUAUGAACUCCCAACUCUGACCUGUGUCAUUUCCAUGGUUUGGUGAUCUAAUCCCACCAGACUGCCCUCUGCUGAACUCAAACCCCAACUUUGUUAAAGUUUACCUCCCUCUCUCACAUUUAUUACUGUUGUAUCAAUGGUACCACUUGUAAGAUGGAGCAAGUUUUUCCCUUCUCUCUUGACACCUGGCCCAGUGUGUCUUUCUUUUAGUUAGUGCAGCGACUAUAACGUCUGAAGGCUUGCCUGCAAGCUCUGAUGAUACCCUGCAUAGCCUAUCAAAAUGUCCUACUCAGAGGUAUCACCAGUAACUUUGAAGCUAGACUUUAUUAGUGUAUGUAAAGUACAUUUUAUUUUCUUGAUGGGGUUGGGUGUUGAAGUAUAAUUUAUUCCCCCUCCCUGUUUCUUACUAUGCUGUAGAUGCUUAUAAAAGAGUUUAUGGUCUCCUGAACUUUGAUCUCUGUAGUUCUGAUGCUAUUGUAUCCUUUUGCCAUAUCUGGGUAUCAUAGUUUCCCAUCAAAACUAUCUGCGCCAGAACUUAUCCUGCUUUAAGAAUGAAAUUUAAAAUGUCAUAUUCUUUGAUGGUAUUUCACUGCUAAGGGAAUAAAUUAUUUAUAAAAUAAUCUGUACAGUAGUAGGUACAUAUAUGUACAUUAUACAUAUAUAAUGCAUAUAUUAGUAUGUAAUAGGUACAUAUUAACACAGCUCUUGCAGAACUAUUUGGGUGAUUUUUCUCUGCCUUAAUUAGUAACCAUUCUGCAUUGUUGGAAGUUGCUCUAAACAAGCCAGUGCAUGAUACCCUUUGCCUGUAAGUCUUUUUUUUUUUAAUUUUUUUAUUUUUCGAGGCAGGGUUUCUCUGUGGCUUUGGAGCCUGUCCUGGAACUAGCUCUUGUAGACCAGGCUGGUCUCGAACUCACAGAGAUCCGCCUGCCUCUGCCUCCCGAGUGCUGGGAUCAAAGGCGUGCGCCACCACUGCCCGGCUCUGUAAGUCUUUUUGAAGGAAGCAUCAAAGUAAGAUAAUCUGGAGUUUCUUUUUACAACAUGAAUUCUCCCUAAGACUCUUACAGUUUAUUCCCAUCUCUCCAGAAUUCAUUUCUUCUGCUAUAACCUGACUUAAUUUCUAUUCUUGUAAUGUUAAACUUCAAAGUUCACUUGUAAAUCUUCAAAUUUAUUAAAUGUCCUUUCCCAUUGACAAGCCAGUGUAAAUGAAGGGAGUUUGUGAAAGAUUGCUUAGCAACUUUCUGUAAGCCUUUGUCGCUAAGGGACCGAUCAUUAUUUCCGACAGCAGUGCUCUGGAGGCGAGGGAUUUCUCAAGCCUCUAACUUCAGACCUGGAAAGAAAGGAGGCGUUUUCUCUGCUUUAUGGGCCCCACUUUAGAAGACCCUUGGGCACCGUCUUGUCCCAAGCCCUUUAAAUUGAGGGUGACACAUUAAACUGCCAUUUCCUAGCAUGCUGCCGUAUUUGGAGAGUGACAGAAAACAGGAGUCAUUUUCCUGUUGCCAUCUGAAUAACUUGUAGCAAUUUUCUAAUGCUGUAUUCACGUUGGCUCUGUCGAAUUCGAAGUAGUCAGGUGAUAAAAAUGAAAUUGAAGGAUUAGUGGAAUCUGACAGAGACAGAGUCGCUCAAUUAAAAACGCACUCUGGGAAGUGAACUUCAUUGAGGAGCGAAAUGGUCAUGCUAAAAAACAUGUAAGUCAGGCUGCGCUCGUGGCCAGGCCUGAGAUUCAAGCACUCAGAAGACUGGAGGAUUCCUCGGAGUUUAGUGACCAUGAGAGGAGUUCCCAGGCCAGUCUGAGGGCUGUGUAGUAAGCCUUUGCCUCCAGCAAACACACACCCAGUAUGGUAAGACAUUAGUGAAUGUUAGAAUUGGCUGGGAAAUAGUAUUGAAAUGGUAUGCUGUGUUAUCUGUUUUCAGAGUCGUUGUCUUGCGUUUAUAUCCAUGGUAAUUCAGAUCGAUUUUGCUUCCAUGUUAAAACUGAAGAAACUGAGACUUGGAGGUUAGGACAAUGUCCGGAGUUACACAGAGUCCCGCUCGGUGGUUAAGACUUCCUGCCGGCACUGUCUGCUUCUUGACUUGUGUGCUUUCCCUGUGCUCCUGAAUCCAAAGUCGCUGUGUACUUUUUAAUCUGUAAAAAAAGGUCAGUUUUGUAUGAAAGAAUUUCCAAGGUAGAUUUCUUACUGCUUUGAAACCCCCACAGUUAAGGAGCUGGGGAGGACCAUCGUGUGAUCAAGCAGGGCUUAUCCAGUGGGAAUGCUCCCAGACUUAGCAGGGUCCAGCCAUGCUUUUUGAUGUGCAAGCUUUGCCAUUUAAAAAAUGCUACUGACACGGGAAGAAUAUUAGCUAUACAAAUUUAUUUUGCUCUGGUAAUUGGUUCACACUCCCCGUUCCGUGCUCCCUCCCCAUUAGAAUACUAAGGAGAUCUUUCAGUUUUGUAGGUUUGGACUGCAGUUCGUAGACUCUUAAGAGAUGCUAGACAUGAAGGAGCAUCACCGUCUUCCUGUUCUGUUGAUCUGAACUCCAGCUCAGAAUCAUGAGGUUGUCAGGUCAGGGACCUAGGUUAUGUGGUGGCUGGGGCCCUUGCUGUUGAUUCUUAGUAUCUUAAUUAAUCUCAACCUUGACUGCGCAUUAGGAUCACUGGAGAAGCUUAAAAUUGUCGAUGCCUGGGGCUCACUCUCGGAGAGUCUAGUUUAACUGGUUCAGUGGUACUGAAAAGACCCCACUGGUGAUUGAGACAAUCACCUUUGUCCAGGCAGUUUCAUCUCCAGUGAGUUCAAUUACAGCCUGUGAGGACAGUUCCCAGACUGGAUCAUUAAAUUGAAACAAGUCCCCACUGACCCAUCGCGAGCGAAUGAUUGACACUAGAACGUUGUGUAGACACUCAGCGCACACGUCUAAAACCCAAGUUGGCCUCCAGCUUUAUCCUCUUCCCCUGUCUCAGUGUAUCUGGUUCACUGAGUGCUACCAGUAAUCGUGGGACUAGGAAGUCUGAGUCAUGAAGGGAGGCUCUUCUGUUCUUCCAAGCCUGCCGCCACCACAUCUUGCCUUCUUGGAUGACUGCCAGCCUUCUAGCUAAGCAUCAUCUCCACCCAGUACCUUGUGUCCUUUCUGGCUUCAGUCUCUUCUUUCUCCAUAUUGCAGCCUUAAUAGUCUUUGAAAAGUCUAAACUGAUUGGCUGUGUUCCCCUCCUACUUAAAGUUAUGUAGCGGUUCUGAUGACUGGGGCCAAAGACGAGAUUCUCCUAGCAUCACCGAGAUGGACUGGUCCCCUCUGCACCUCUGUUCCAGCCUCUCCUCCCUUGGUGUUUCAGCAUCCCGAGUUCUUCGGGCAGUCUUCUAGGGCUUUCCCACACGUGUUCACUUGUUAGAAGGCUCCCUGCUUUUCCGUCUUUAUGGCCUUGGACUGGUUACUUUCAAUUGCAUCCUGAAAUUCACUUCAUGGAAGAUUUUUCUUAUCCUCUAAAGUAGGCCGGGUCUCCUCUUUAAACUCCCCAUUGCCUUGCAUUUUUCUCUUGGAACACAUAAUAGCAUAAGCAUAUAAGUCUAGUUACAAUUGAUGUCUAGACUGUGAGUCUGCCUACCAUAACCUACGGAUAGAGUCUGGCCUGCUAACCUGUGUUUAUAUGGCUUGCAAGCUGAGAAUGGUGUUUACAUAGUUGAUGAGAAGAUUGAGACAAAUAUGGCUGAGGCAAACAAACAGGAAAGAAUAUUGUUUCAUGAGAAGUGUAUGAAAUUUGGGUGUCUUUGCUCUAAAGUUAGGUUUCGUUAAGCCACAGCCACCUUUCCUGUCUGUUGUACGUACUAUCCAGGAGAGUAGUUCUCCGAGACCUUACUGCUCACAAGCACCGGGAUUAAGUCUGGGUCCUUUGCGUGCAGUGUUUGCUGACCCUUGUUCUGUCCUGGGCUGAUGAGGGGAUGAUCUUGAUUGCUCUGUGUGUUCCUGCUGGGCUCUGCUUAGCUGACACUGAUUCAUGUAGGCUCUUGGGAAGUAUUUUUCUUCCUCCUAAUGGUGUGGAUGAGCUACUUUCCCAACUCUCCUGUUUCCAAGUUCAAUGUGGACUUUUUCCCUUAAGGAUAAAGUCUUUAGAGGAAGUCUCAACAGAUUUCAGCUGGAUGCUUAGGCAGCCUCAGGUGAACUGUGGCUCAUGUUUUUCAACAUAGUGUCUUCUCCUUUGUUAUUUUUUUGUUUUACUUAUUUGAAGUAGGACAUGCCUUUUCUUUUUUAAAGGAAAGUGGUGUUUUCCGGUAUAUUUUAUUAUACUUAAUCAGGGAACGUCAACUUUUUCGUCCUUGCUGUAUGGGCUUAUUAUUAAUUUCAUAGUAUUUUCAGCAUAGGUAUUAGUUCAGAUUAAGACUUUACAAACAUUUGAUUAACUGCUGAAAUUAUUUACGUUCCAAACCAUAUUAUUACUCCUGUUAGGUGCUCACCACAACCAGACAGUCAUUUAUUUAGAAGUGACGUUCUUAAAGAAGACAUUUAUUCUCAUUUCUGUAUGUGUUAAUGUGUGUGAGUACACACGUAUGUGUGGACAGUCUGGUGUUCUUCCUUACGCUGCCUUUUUGUUGGGCAUGGUCUCUUCCUGGCCUGGAAUUCACUAAUGGGAAAGGCUGUUUGGGGAGCCAGCCUAUGGCAUCAGCUUCUAUCUUGCUGGGUAUAGAGCCACCCUUGGCUUUUCCACUGGGUUUGAGGGGUUGAACUUGGCUCUUCCUGCUGGCAAGGCAAGCACCUUAGUGACUGAGCUAUCUCCCUAUCCCAUAGUCUUUUGUUUAAGGUUGCCAGAUACCAAAAAAAUGUUAAGCACAAAAGUUAUCUCUGGGUACAUUUGUAUAAUGUCAAGGAAAGAAAAUAGCAAGAAGACGGGAAAAUUGAAAAGAGGUGGCUGCUUCAAGCUGUUUAAGUACCAGUGAUGGAACUACAUGCUUUACUUGGUAGUGUUGUGUGGUAAGGUGAGCAAGGUUCCUCAUUACAAGUCACUUAGGGUGUUGCAGCCAGAAGAAGAAAACAGAAAACGGCAAAUCACCCUUGAAUCCAAAUACUGAAAACAUUAAACAAAAUUUAUUUUUUCCUGUUCAGUCCUGGGGUGGGGGCAGGGUCCCAGGGAGUUUGCUCAGUGACUCCAUGAUGACUCAAGUGGCAGGGUACUCCUUCUUUCCUUGUUUCUGUUCCCUGUCUUCUGUCCCUCCCCUCCCUUCCCUCCCUCUCUCUUUCCCUUCCUCCCCUCUCUCCCUCCCACCUGUAGUUCCUGCUGGCUGGCUUCAGACUCAGGCAGCUGUCUCAGCCUGGAGGUUCUGGCUGUGAGCGACCACACCCAGCCCUUUCUUCAGCAGUCUUCAGGGAGGAGCCUUUCCUCGCUUAGCCCCACUUCUGACCUGUGUCUUCCCGAUGGACUUUUCUAACAACCUCUGCUGGUUUUCCUUGGAUGGGAAUCACAGAAGGCGGCUAUAAUCCUCAUCCCUGAUAGUGUCUAGCAGGGUGAAGCAAAGACUAGUAGUUUGGUCCAGUCUGCAGCCUGCACGCCCCAAGAUAACUGUGAAUGGGGCCCAGCACAAAAUGUGAGAAUGAAGAUUCACAUUGUUUAGAAUAUCCCCCAAUAGAAGGUGGUCUCUCUUUGCAUGCCAGACACAGCUCUGUAAUAGAGUUUUGGAAGUGGAAGUUAACAGCUAAUAUGUAAAAAUGUUCAAUUUUGUUAGUACUAAGGCUAAAGGAGGGGCACCUCUCUAUGUCGGUGACCUUGAUAAAAGUUAACAGAAUAAUA